rnacentral:lncRNA from 1 species
UUGCUCUUUCUUUUUCUUUUUUUCUUUUGGCAUAAAGUUUUGAAAAAGUUACUUUAAAAUGUUCUAUUAAAUCGAUUUUCAGGAUCGUGAAUGUUGGAAGAUUGACAGCUCUGGGAAGAGCGCCAUCUCUCAAGUGUGCAUUUUAGGAGUAGCAGUGAGAUGAAAUUGCCCCCCUCUCACUACCUUAUGAAGCCUCUGCUGACAUGACGUGAUGUGCCCAGCACUCAGCACAGGAGGGAGAUGUUUCCGUGACUCCUUCGGCUCUCACUUUUUUUGCCAUUCCCUCCAAGUUACUGUGACUUCAUGGAAUAUCUUUGCCAGAUGGUGGUGGUCUUCCUAUAGUGAGACGUGUAGGCAACAUAAAGAUCCACACUAGGUAGACCUGGUACUGUCCCUUCACUCAAGCUUGUCCUGCCCAGGCCUUGGGAACAACAAUUUGAAACAUUGGGUCUUAGUACGUAGCAUCCAUACUCAGAAGUCAAAAUGGAAAACUGACCUCAUGCAGUUGCAGUGCUUGUUUCUCUUACACUGAAUACAAAGCCUUUGGUAGACCCUCAGGGGACAUCAGAUGGAAAAGCAAGUACGUCAGGUUGAUUUGGGAAAUUGGUGCAGUAAGCUCCCCGGAAUCACAACCCUCGUGUUUCCUUAAUUAGAGAGGUGGCCCUACAAUCAAUAUUCUUGCUAUUCUUUGCUAUGCCAUUCCCCGUGCUUCCCAGCUAGCUACUCUGGGGAUUUUCAGCUGACGACGGUGCAAUCCUCCUGGGACUGUGCAAGGCACAGAGGGGGAGAGGGAACAUAAUUUGUUGGCCUGUUAUAUGGGGUUGCUAAAGCACAGGACUGCAUUCAUCAAAGCCAGCAUGGUUCCCCUGCAAUUUUAUAUUCAGAAUGCGUGUUCUGUGGUUCACUUACAAGUGAUGGCAGGAUGCAGCAGAUAGACCGAAGCAUUGUCUAGAAAUGUUUAAGCAUUUUAAUUUUCCCCCCUUUUGCUGCAAGAAGAGAAUACGCAAAACUCCAAGUAAGAUCUACUGUCCCAAGACCUGAACUCUGCCCAGAUGUCUGUUACCUGCUGCUUAGAAAUGUACAAGUAUUUGAGAAAGAAGGAUGGAACUUUUCUAUCACUAUGGGAAUCUGAAACUAGUUUAUAUUUUUGUACCCAAUGAAAGAAACAAAGGUGAGAAGAAAGAAAAUAACUGAUUAGUCUUGAGGCAUGGUCAAAACAGGUCACCUAGGCUGUGUUUAUAGGGAUAAUAUAAUUACAGCUAUUUUCAAAAGUGUUCAGCCUCCCCCAAAAUAAAUAUUAGUGAGGAAAGAUAAGUUAGGAACCC